UACGUAGGGUGCAAGCGUUAAUCGGAAUUACUGGGCGUAAAGCGUGCGCAGGCGGUGAUGUAAGACAGGUGUGAAAUCCCCGGGCUUAACCUGGGAACUGCAUUUGUGACUGCAUCGCUGGAGUGCGGCAGAGGGGGAUGGAAUUCCGCGUGUAGCAGUGAAAUGCGUAGAUAUGCGGAGGAACACCGAUGGCGAAGGCAAUCCCUGGGCCUGCACUGACGCUCAUGCACGAAAGCGUGGGAGCAAACAGG
rnacentral:rRNA from 1 species